rnacentral:rRNA from 1 species
UGAGGAAUAUUGCACAAUGGGGGAAACCCUGAUGCAGCAACGCCGCGUGAAGGAUGAAGGCUUUCGAGUUGUAAACUUCUUUUCUGGGGGAAGAGGAAGGACGGUACCCCAGGAAUAAGACACGGCUAACUACGUGCCAGCAGCCGCGGUAAUACGUAGGUGUCGAGCGUUAUCCGGAAUUACUGGGCGUAAAGGGCACGCAGGCGGCUGUUCAAGUUCGGCGUGAAAGCUCCCGGCUAAACUGGGAGAGGCCGUUGAAAACUGAGCAGCUUGAGGCAAUGAGAGGGAUGCGGAAUUCCCGGUGUAGUGGUGGAAUGCGUAGAUAUCGGGAAGAACACCAGUGGCGAAAGCGGCAUCCUGGCAUUGAACUGACGCUGAGGUGCGAAAGCGUGGGUAGCGAAC